rfam:Triticum aestivum genome assembly, contig: Triticum_aestivum_CS42_TGACv1_scaffold_456500_5DS
UUUAUACUCCCUCCGUCCCAAAAAUUUUAUCUUAGAUUUGUCUAAAUACGGAUGUAUCAAGUCACGUUUUAGCGUUAGAUACAUCCAUAUGUAGACAAAUCUAAGAUAAGAAUUUUGGGACGGAGUGAGUAUAUA